rnacentral:rRNA from 1 species
GCAGCGGAGCGUGUGGUUUAAUUCGUUGCUACACGAAGAACCUUACCUGGGUUUGACAUAUAGGUUGUAGGGAACUGAAAGGGACCGACCCUUCGGGGAGCCUAUACAGGUGUUGCAUGGCUGUCGUCAGCUCGUGUCGUGAGAUGUUCGGUUAAGUCCGCUAACGAGCGCAACCCUCGUCGUAUGUUAUAUGUGUCAUACGAGACUGCCGGUAAAAGCCGGAGGAAGGUGAGGAUGAUGUCAAGUCAGCAUGACCUUUAUAUCCAGGGCUACACACACGCUACAAUGGUCUGUACAAUGGGUAGCCAAGCCGCGAGGCGGAGCCAAUCCUGAAAGCAGGCCUCAGUUCAGAUUGCAGUCUGCAACUCGACUGCAUGAAGCCGGAGUUGCUAGUAACCGCAGGUCAGCAAUACUGCGGUGAAUACGUUCCCGGGUCUU